rnacentral:rRNA from 1 species
GUGUCAGCAGCCGCGGUAAUACGUAGGGUGCGAGCGUUAAUCGGAAUUACUGGGCGUAAAGCGUGCGCAGGCGGUUCGCCGUGUCCUGUGUGAAAGCCCCGGGCUCAACCUGGGAAUGGCAUGGGAAACUGGCGGGCUGGAGUGUGGCAGAGGGGGGUGGAAUUCCGCGUGUAGCAGUGAAAUGCGUAGAGAUGCGGAGGAACACCGAUGGCGAAGGCAGCCCCCUGGGCCAACACUGACGCUCAGGCACGAAAGCGUGGGGAGCAAACAGGAUUAGAAACCCUAGUAGUCC